UACGUAGGGUGCAAGCGUUGUCCGGAAUUAUUGGGCGUAAAGAGCUUGUAGGCGGUUUGUCGCGUCUGCUGUGAAAUUUCGGGGCUCAACCCCGAACUUGCAGUGGGUACGGGCAGACUAGAGUGUGGUAGGGGAGACUGGAAUUCCUGGUGUAGCGGUGAAAUGCGCAGAUAUCAGGAGGAACACCGAUGGCGAAGGCAGGUCUCUGGGCCAUAACUGACGCUGAGAAGCGAAAGCAUGGGGAGCGAGCAGG
rnacentral:rRNA from 1 species